GCAGCAGGAGCAGCAGCAGGAGGUGCAGCUCUGCAGCUCGGAGGCGCAGCACUGAUCGUGGCACUGAUGGUCGCUCGGCUCUGAACACUGAAGUCAGCAGCUUGAAACACAGAACUGAUGUCCGCAGGCUCGAGACGCCAACAUGAAACUGGCUGAUUUGCAUCUGCUGCUGCAACAUCUGAGCUCGUCUGUGAGUCAGCAGGUCCACUGAGGCCACAGAACCUGGACCAAGUCCUGGUUCAGGUCCAACAACUGAGUGACACACGUUUUAAAGAUCAAAAUGAUUAUUAGAAGAUAUUUUCAGAUUUUGACCCGAGCGAGUGAGAAUAUAAUGAAAUCUCUGAAACUAAACAUUGUUAUAUUAAUGAUUGGAGGGAGAGCAGCAGCCGUCUCAUCAGAACUGUUCUGAGGUUCUGGUGACACAGAGACGAGUCACGAGUCAGUCGAUGCUCUCAUCACAUGUUUAUAUUGAUCAGGUUGAAUCUGUGUCAUAUUAUAAUAAUGAACUAAUGUUUUUCUGACUCGAGCUCCAAACUCAAAGUGAACCUGCUCUAACUUUAACUCAUUGGUCUGAUGGGAUCUAACAGAGUGGAGCGUCUUCACUCUCAGAGGAUCUUUGAGUUCAGACACGUUUACAUUUGUUCUGUCGUGUUUCUCAUUAAUAUUAAUGAUUAACAGCUGAUCAGAGUUUAAGAUGAUCCUUCAUUGAUCUUCGGGGACAGUGACGACACGAGAAGCUGAUUUUAAUUUGGGGUUUAUUUUAUCUGGAGCUGCAACGAUAAGUUGAUCGAUCGAUUGAUUCAUUGUCAACUAUUAACUGCCAACUAUUUAGAGAACUGAUUCACUGUCACGUCAACUUGUAAUGCAACAGAAGAGGAUGAAGAUGAGAUUAGUUUGUUCAUUUCUGUCCACGUUUUGUCCCUUUGUAAUGAUCAGCGGUGUGUUAACAGCGUCUGUCUUCUGUCCAGUGUCUGUUAUUUAUUCUAUGGCUUCGUUUUCUUUGUUUUUGCUUGGUAACUCUUGAACCUGUGUGACCUACGAGGGAUUUAAAAAGGGAAUGUUCCAUUUGUUUUUUUAAAUAAAUGGUGAAACAUAACAAAACAUUUAAUGAUACA